rnacentral:lncRNA from 10 species
GAACUUUCCUUAUGGUCAUCUUUGGGUGGAGCCACCACUUCCAGUUCUGAUCUUCUCAUUCUGGUUGAGUACCUGGGCUUGCCAGUGCACCCCCCAGGAACACCGCCUAGUCCAGGGCUCCCACAGGUCUCAGACUGACAGGAGACUGGGUCAUAUGACCAGCACUAGCCAAUGAGCUGUGAGUACACGUGACACAGGGACAAGCUGGGUCAUGUGACUGGCACUAGCCAAUGAGCUGUGAGGACGUGAGCACAGGUCCAGCUAGGCUGGGUCAUAUGACAAGCAUUAGCCAAUGAGCUGUGAGGACACGUGAGUACAGGUCCAGCUAGGCUGGGACAUGUGACUGGCACUGGCCCAUGGGCUGUGAGCACAGGUCAGGUCAGCCCCUUCCUGCUGCUUCCCACCGUGUGUGCUCCUUGUCUGACUUGAUAUGAGAACUAACCCAAUAUGGCAGGAAGCCACUGACAUGUGGGAGCCGUGCAUGGCAGUGGCCAGCGUCCUUGUCCUGCGGGGGCUCUGUGGACAUCACUCGCCUUCAGAACACUGAGCCCUCCUACCUCCUGAUAUCCAGGGCUGCCGAUGGGAAAUCCCAGGCUGCCGCGGCUCCUGUGUGCUUUGAAGUUUUCAGGAUUUUUGUCAAACAUCCGGGGACCCUUAGCUGGAGAGGAUGGCAUGGGUGACACGCAGCUGGCCAGGGUGCGCGACUCUGCUCUCAAGACCCCCUGGAGGCCCGCCCCCUGCCCCCCACCAGCUCAUUCGUUAGAUGAUUGGAAGUGACUGCCUACGUCUUCUUUCAGGAUAAAGCCUCAAGUCCUGCAACUAUUCCUUGUGUGAUAACGUUUCAAAUCCCUUCCUGGUUCUGGCAAAGCUCCUCAAACAUGCUCCAGUGUGCUGGGGCUCUGCAUGUGUGAGCCUGGGGCCAGCAGGGCGCACGUUCAUGUCAGGGCACCAGUAUGAUCCUGAUGACACAUGACUGGUGUGGAGCCCCGGGUGUUUCCACGGGAACUGCUGUCGGCCGGAUUGCUGUGCUCUGCAGCUGUGCCCA